CGGCUGCGGCUCACGUACUGACAUCUAAGACGUAGCUUUAAUUAUCCGGAAGUGCGAUCCCAAGGACUUCAAACUCAUUGUCGUGGCCUUCCGGAAGUACCUCUGACAAGAGGAAGUCCAGCUCAAAGCAGAUUUCUAAACAAACCAAGAAAAGAUGAGAAGAGUGUCCACACGGAGCAAUGAUGGCACUAACCUGGUACAAGAAAACAGAAAAAAACUAGAUGAAAAAUACAUCUACAUAGGGCAACCUGUGCGUGGUGUUCAAGUGGGAAAAGCCACAUAUUGACUCUGGUGAGAGCCACAACUUCUCCCUAGGACCACCUCCUCAGCCUGCCAUCAGCUCCACCCCAGGAGAAGGCUGCCUUGGUUCUGGACCUGGUCACAGUGUUCUGAAUGAGUGUGCAUCUGCUGG